UACGAAGGGGGCUAGCGUUGCUCGGAAUCACUGGGCGUAAAGCGCACGUAGGCGGAUUGCUAAGUCAGGGGUGAAAUCCUGGAGCUCAACUCCAGAACUGCCUUUGAUACUGGGCGACUUCGAGUCCGGGAGAGGUGAGUGGAACUGCGAGUGUAGAGGUGAAAUUCGUAGAUAUUCGCAAGAACACCAGUGGCGAAGGCGGCUCACUGGCCCGGGUACUGACGCUGAGGUGCGAAAGCGUGGGGAGCAAACAGGG
rnacentral:rRNA from 1 species